rnacentral:misc_RNA from 1 species
AAGUCGUAACAAGGUUUCCGUAGGUGAACCUGCGGAAGGAUCAUUAAUCAAGCGUACCGUUGAGGGAGAAAGGACGUCGGCUCCCUCUUAAGUUAUGGACCGACAGUCCUCCUCAACGAGAAAUUGAUUCUAUCCCUCCUGUGAAUAGUCUCCUGUUGCUUCCGUGUUGCCUGUGGUCCCCUCUGGAUCUAUCUUGGUCCUGGAAGGGGAUUGCCUGAAAAGCCUUGGGACCAGGUCCUAAGGGCGCGCGGUCAUAGCAUUUUGAACUCUUGUGUCUGUAUUGUCUAAGUCUGAGUGUUGAACGCAUCAACAAGUUAAAA